rnacentral:lncRNA from 1 species
UUUUGAUUAUCACCAGGGUCGUUUGUAACCCUAAACCCAAUUUUGCAACACCUUCUCCUCACAUCCGCUUGAUCUUGAGCAGUUCUUCCAACGAUUUUAACACUAAACCCAGGGCUCCAAAUUCUUUAACAACUGAAACAGAGGAAUACGUGAUUCACAAUUGCAAAUCGUCGGUACCUACCCAGUGAUCUGUCAGAUUCAACUUGAAUUCAAGUCUCAGAUGUAUAUUGAUUCUUGUAAAUGCUACUCAUUAGAGAUACUAGUUAAAAGUCAAGGUCUUUAAUCUUUUAGGCAUUCAAGUACUUAGCACAGAUUGACAGAUUCUAAAGAUUCUUUGUAAGUAAUUUGAGUCUUAUAUGUUCAAAUUUUCAUCAGAGAUACAUAGUUGACGCUUUGGAGGUACAUAACGAAGGAAGAGAAGACGAUGUUCCGAAGCCAACAAGAUGGUUUAUUCGUACUACAUUAUUACUAAAUUUAUUUUCUUAUCCUUUGAUCAUGAGUAUCUUUUGUGUAAACUAGAGUUGGCAUAUAGUAUACUAUAGAGGCUGCAGAUAGUAUACUAUAGAGGAUGCAAGGUGCUACAGAUGAAUGCCCAUGAGAAUGGAAGAAACAUUAAGAAGAUGCAAAGAGAUUGGACUGCAAAAAGAAUGUUAUUUAUAAUGGUUUAGUUAGAUGGUUUUAUUGUAAAUGUUCUCAAGACUAUCUUGUAUAAUAUGAAAUGGUUAUCUAAAUCAAAGUGCGUGUAUAUUUUCGCUGCAAGUUUGCCAUGGGGAAACUUCCCAUGUGACAUAUGUUUCAUACUUGCAUCACUUUAG